AUAAAGUUUUAUUUUAGCUUAAUGUUUUAUUUUUAAUUUUUUUACAUAUAAGUUAUUGCAAGAAUUUUAAAAAAUUUAAAUAAUUAAUAAUUUUAAAUAUGUGUAGUGAAUAAUUUUAUUAAUUAAAGAAAUUUAGAUAUAGAAAUAUUAAAUAGAAUUAGUCAAAUUUGUGCCAGCAACUGCGGUUAGACAAAGAUUUCAAGUAAAAUAAAUUAGUAAUUAGUUAAAUUGUUAAUUAAUAAAUAAAAUUAUUUUAGGUGAAAUUUAAUAAUUUAAUUUUGAAAAAAAAUUGAGGCUAGGAAAUUUUAAUGAAAAACUAGGAUUAGAUACCCUAUUAUUUAAAAUGUAAUAAAGUUACUAGGGUAUUAAUAGAUAUGAUCUUUAAACUUAAAAAAUUUGGCGGUAUUUUAGUCUUUUCAGAGGAACCUGUAGAGUAAUCGAUAAUCCACGAUGAACCUUUCUUGAAUUUAUAAAUUAGUUUAUAUACCGUCGUUAUAAAAAAUUUUAUAAGAAAAAUAAUUUUUAAGAUACAAGAUAAUGUAAUAUAUCAGAUCAAGGUGUAGCAUAUAUUUAAGUUUUUAUGGGUUACAUUUAUUUAAAUAAUACGAAUAGAAGAAUGAAAAAUGUCUUGAAGGUGGAUUUGAGAGUAAAAAUUUAAAGAUAAAAAUUUUGAUUAUAGCUCUAAAAUAUGUACAUAUCGCCCGUCACUCUUGCUAUUAAAGUAAGAUAAGUCGUAACAUAGUAAGUGUACUGGAAAGUGUACUUAGAAUACA
rnacentral:ncRNA from 1 species